AUACGUAGGGGGCGAGCGUUGUCCGGAAUCACUGGGCGUAAAGCGCACGUAGGCGGGCUGUUAAGUCGGCCGUGAAAGGCACUGGCUCAACCGGUGUUUGUCGGUCGAUACUGGCAGUCUGGAGUAUGGGAGAGGGAACUGGAAUUCCCGGUGUAGCGGUGAAAUGCGUAGAUAUCAGGAGGGACACCGGUGGCGAAGGCGGCUACCUGGACCGAUAUUGACGCUGAGACGCGAAAGCGUGGGUAGC
rnacentral:rRNA from 1 species